rnacentral:rRNA from 1 species
CCCAGACUCCUACGGGAGGCAGCAGUGGGGGAUAUUGCACAAUGGGGGGAAUCCUGAUGCAGCGACGCCGCGUGGGUGAAGGAGCGUUUCGGCGCGUAAAGCCCUAUCGGCAGGGAAGAAGGAGGACGGUACCUGACUAAGAAGCCCCGGCUAACUACGUGCCAGCAGCCGCGGUAAUACGUAGGGGGCAAGCGUUAUCCGGAUUUACUGGGUGUAAAGGGGGCGCAGACGGCAGCGCAAGCCAGGAGUGAAAGCCCGGGGCCCAACCCCGGGACUGCUCUUGGAACUGCGCGGCUGGAGUGCAGGAGGGGCAGGCGGAAUUCCUGGUGUAGCGGUGAAAUGCGUAGAUAUCAGGAGGAACACCGGUGGCGAAGGCGGCCUGCUGGACUGCGACUGACGUUGAGGCCCGAAAGCGUGGGGAGCAAACAGGAUUAGAUACCCCUGUAAG